CAAUUUCAGCAGCUCUUCCUGAGAGUGGGGUGUGUGUGUGCACGUGCACACACUGCACGGGGACAAGGCGGGAUCAUGGGUCUUACCAUGUGGCUCUUUGCAGGUGAGGCUACAUUUUGGAGUUGGCCCUAGGCCAGAUGCAGGAAUCUCCACUGAGAGGAUCAUUCACUCUGGGCUUCAGCGCUCAUCUCUAAGAAAUGGGACUUUCAUGUUCUGAGCUGUGAGAGUCACAGGGACUCCUGGACCUGCUGUGAAGUGCUCAGGAGCACAGCUGUAGGUUUUAUCUCUCUGUGCAGCAAGGUCUCCCAAUGCCGUGGUCAGACAUGUGUGAACGGUGGAAUCGGACAGAUUGGAGCGGGCUUCGUCGCCUCUGCUCUCCCUAGCUGUGUUACCUGCAGGCAAGUCCUCUGAGUCUCGGGUUAUUCAUCUGUAAAAUGAGGACAGUCAUGCUAUCUACCUCAUAGCUUGGUUGUGAAGAUUAAGUGAGGUAGUGAUGUAAUCCCUGGGCCUGAAAUAAAUGAGAGCUAUUACCGCCCUGCGUGAUCAACGGAAGCGAGGGCCUCUCCGCUCUCCCACUCUCACCAGCCAUCCAGCCCAGUCCAGAGCAAAAGACUAAAGCCCUGCUUGUUCUGAGCCUUUAGGGGAGCCUGUGACAAGCUGAAUUCAUGAAUGAUGCCUCUGCAGGUGCCAGGGACCCACAGCUCCACCCUCACCCAGCCCGGUGCUGCCUGCCAGGCCCUUGUCAGCGGUUACAACCUCCAACUGCCUCCUGCUGCCUGAGUUUUAUCAAAAGCUCAGUUGAGAGAAAUAAAGUUCAAGGGGGUUAUUUAAAGGCCAUGCAUUCCAGCCAUUCUUCCAGCUGAGACUUAGCCCCCAACCAAGUCGCUCUCACGAAGCUUGGACCACAUUAUUUAGUCACCACAGAAUCGUGUGUCCUUCCCUUAUACUGGAGACUUGAAGGGAAAUGGGCCCGAGGAGUCCUGCUGUUGUGUUUAUUUUGGG